UCUCUUAUGUUUCGAAGUGCAUUUGGGGGCAGUUUAUUAGCUUUUAUAAGGGGAAAAUUCUGAGGAUCAAGGCAUGCUAGAUCGGCAAUUCCCCGUGCUGAAGGAAGUAGACGCAUUCGGGUAUAGAAUGUGUUACGUUUAAUUAUGUGUCGGAUGGUGCGGGUACGCAAGCCAAGUCAGGAGGUGGUGGUACGUGGGGGGGAAAGUUUGGGAACCGCUGGCCUAGG